AUUGAACGCUGGCGGCAUGCUUUACACAUGCAAGUCGGACGAGUGGCGAACGGGUGAGUAACAUAUCGGAACGUACCGAGUAAUGGGGGAUAACUAAUCGAAAGAUUAGCUAAUACCGCAUAUUAUUCGAGCGGCCGAUAUCGGAUUAGCUAGUUGGUGGGGUAAAGGCCUACCAAGGCGACGAUCAGUAGCGGGUCUGAGAGGAUGAUCCGCCAAACUUGGACUGGGACAAGGCCCAGACCCCUACGGGAGGGAGCAGUGGGGAAUUUUUGAGAAUGGGGGCAAGCCUGAGCCAGGCAUGCCGCGUGUCAGAAGAAGGCCUUCGGGGUGUAAAGGUCUUUUGUCAGGGAAGCGGUACCUGAAGAAUAAGCAACGGCUAACUACGUGCCAGCAGCCGCGGUAAUUC
rnacentral:rRNA from 1 species